UAAUACGUAGGUGGCAAGCGUUGUCCGGAUUUAUUGGGUUUAAAGGGUGCGUAGGCGGUCCUAUAAGUCAGUGCUGAAAUAUCCCGGCUUAACCGGGAGGGUGGCAUUGAUACUGCAGGACUUGAGUAGAGUUGAGGUUGGCGGAAUUGACGGUGUAGCGGUGAAAUGCUUAGAUAUCGUCAAGAACACCGAUAGUGAAGACAGCUUACUGGGCUUAAACUGACGCUGAGGCACGAAAGUGUGGGGAUCAAACAGGAUUAGAUACCCUGGUAGUCCACACUGUAAACGUUGAUUACUCGCUGUUGGCGAUACACAGCCAGCGGCCAAGCGCAAGCGAUAAGUAAUCCACCUGGGGAGUACGCCGGCAACGGUG
rnacentral:rRNA from 1 species